rnacentral:rRNA from 1 species
UGUCCUACGGGGGGCAGCAGUGAGGAAUAUUGGUCAAUGGGCGGAAGCCUGAACCAGCCAAGUCGCGUGAGGGAAUAAGGCCCUACGGGUCGUAAACCUCUUUUGCCGGGGAGCAAAACCCGGGACGAGUCCCGGACUGCGUGUAUCCGAAGAAAAAGCAUCGGCUAACUCCGUGCCAGCAGCCGCGGUAAUACGGAGGAUGCGAGCGUUAUCCGGAUUUAUUGGGUUUAA